rnacentral:rRNA from 1 species
AUUGAACGCUGGCGGCAGGCUUAACACAUGCAAGUCGAGCGAGCGGCGGACGGGUGAGUAAUGUCUGGGAAACUGCCUGAUGGAGGGGGAUAACUACUGGAAACGGUAGCUAAUACCGCAUACUCUCAGAUGAGCCCAGAUGGGAUUAGCUAGUAGGUGGGGUAAUGGCUCACCUAGGCGACGAUCCCUCGCCGGGCUGAUAGGAUGACCGGCCACACUGGAACUGAGCAACGGUCCAGACUCCUACGGGAGGCAGCAGUGGGGAAUAUUGCACAAUGGGCGAAAGCCUGAUGCAGCCAUGCCGCGUGUGUGAAGAAGGCCUUCGGGUUGUAAAGCACUUUCAGCGAGGAGGCGUUACUCGCAGAAGAAGCACCGGCUAACUCCGUGCCAGCAGCCGCGGUAAUAC